ACGCUGAAAUGCUUGGUGGGAAAUAAGUGUGUAAUUCAUUUGCUGUACCUGCAACCGUAAAGUCGGAGCGCCGCCCAGUGAAGUCCUUUGUGAACGAAGGCCAGGAAAAGUCUAGUUCUACAAUUAAAAA
rnacentral:ncRNA from 10 species